GGGUUGUGAGGUUAAGCGACUAAGCGUACACGGUGGAUGCCCUGGCAGUCAGAGGCGAUGAAGGGCGUGCUAAUCUGCGAUAAGCGCCGGUAAGGUGAUAUGAACCGUUAUAACCGGCGAUACCCGAAUGGGGAAACCCAGUGUGAUUCGUCACACUAUCAUUAACUGAAUCCAUAGGUUAAUGAGGCGAACCGGGGGAACUGAAACAUCUAAGUACCCCGAGGAAAAGAAAUCAACCGAGAUUCCCCCAGUAGCGGCGAGCGAACGGGGAGGAGCCCAGAGCCUGAAUCAGCAUGUGUGUUAGUGGAAGCGUCUGGAAAGGCGCGCGAUACAGGUGACAGCCCCGUACACAAAAGCGCAUGUGCUGUGAGCUCGAUGAGUAGGGCGGGACACGUGGUAUCCUGUCUGAAUAUGGGGGGACCAUCCUCCAAGGCUAAAUACUCCUGACUGACCGAUAGUGAACCAGUACCGUGAGGGAAAGGCGAAAAGAACCCCGGCGAGGGAGUGAAAAAGAACCUGAAACCGUGUACGUACAAGCAGUGCAGCACCCUUCGGGGUGUGACUGCGUACCUUUUGUAUAAUGGGUCAGCGACUUAUAUUCUGUAGCAAGGUUAACCGUAUAGGGGAGCCGGAGGGAAACCGAGUCUUAACCGGGCGUUAAGUUGCAGGGUAUAGACCCGAAACCCGGUGAUCUAGCCAUGGGCAGGUUGAAGGUUGGGUAACACUAACUGGAGGACCGAACCGACUAAUGUUGAAAAAUUAGCGGAUGACCUGUGGCUGGGGGUGAAAGGCCAAUCAAACCGGGAGAUAGCUGGUUCUCCCCGAAAGCUAUUUAGGUAGCGCCUCGUGAAUUCAUCUCCGGGGGUAGAGCACUGUUUCGGCUAGGGGGCCAUCCCGGCUUACCAACCCGAUGCAAACUGCGAAUACCGGAGAAUGUUAUCACGGGAGACACACGGCGGGUGCUAACGUCCGUCGUGAAGAGGGAAACAACCCAGACCGCCAGCUAAGGUCCCAAAGUCAUGGUUAAGUGGGAAACGAUGUGGGAAGGCCCAGACAGCCAGGAUGUUGGCUUAGAAGCAGCCAUCAUUUAAAGAAAGCGUAAUAGCUCACUGGUCGAGUCGGCCUGCGCGGAAGAUGUAACGGGGCUAAACCAUGCACCGAAGCUGCGGCAGCGAACGUAUCACCCAAGACAACUUUACGGAGUUGACGAUUGACGGAGCGAAGCGACGUCAAAGCGUUCAUUAAAGUCGAGUUGGCUUAGGGAUACGUUCGUUGGGUAGGGGAGCGUUCUGUAAGCCUGUGAAGGUGUGUCGUGAGGCAUGCUGGAGGUAUCAGAAGUGCGAAUGCUGACAUAAGUAACGAUAAAGCGGGUGAAAAGCCCGCUCGCCGGAAGACCAAGGGUUCCUGUCCAACGUUAAUCGGGGCAGGGUGAGUCGACCCCUAAGGCGAGGCCGAAAGGCGUAGUCGAUGGGAAACGGGUUAAUAUUCCCGUACUUGGUGUUACUGCGAAGGGGGGACGGAGAAGGCUAUGUUGGCCGGGCGACGGUUGUCCCGGUUUAAGCGUGUAGGUGUGUGUUCCAUGUAAAUCCGGUUCACUUUAACACUGAGGCGUGACGACGAGGCACUACGGUGCUGAAGCAACAAAUGCCCUGCUUCCAGGAAAAGCCUCUAAGCAUCAGGUAACACGAAAUCGUACCCCAAACCGACACAGGUGGUCAGGUAGAGAAUACCAAGGCGCUUGAGAGAACUCGGGUGAAGGAACUAGGCAAAAUGGUGCCGUAACUUCGGGAGAAGGCACGCUGACACGUAGGUGAAGUGAUUUACUCAUGGAGCUGAAGUCAGUCGAAGAUACCAGCUGGCUGCAACUGUUUAUUAAAAACACAGCACUGUGCAAACACGAAAGUGGACGUAUACGGUGUGACGCCUGCCCGGUGCCGGAAGGUUAAUUGAUGGGGUCAGCGUAAGCGAAGCUCCUGAUCGAAGCCCCGGUAAACGGCGGCCGUAACUAUAACGGUCCUAAGGUAGCGAAAUUCCUUGUCGGGUAAGUUCCGACCUGCACGAAUGGCGUAAUGAUGGCCAGGCUGUCUCCACCCGAGACUCAGUGAAAUUGAACUCGCUGUGAAGAUGCAGUGUACCCGCGGCAAGACGGAAAGACCCCGUGAACCUUUACUAUAGCUUGACACUGAACAUUGAGCCUUGAUGUGUAGGAUAGGUGGGAGGCUUUGAAGUGUGGACGCCAGUCUGCAUGGAGCCGACCUUGAAAUACCACCCUUUAAUGUUUGAUGUUCUAACGUGGACCCGUAAUCCGGGUUGCGGACAGUGUCUGGUGGGUAGUUUGACUGGGGCGGUCUCCUCCUAAAGAGUAACGGAGGAGCACGAAGGUUGGCUAAUCCUGGUCGGACAUCAGGAGGUUAGUGCAAUGGCAUAAGCCAGCUUGACUGCGAGCGUGACGGCGCGAGCAGGUGCGAAAGCAGGUCAUAGUGAUCCGGUGGUUCUGAAUGGAAGGGCCAUCGCUCAACGGAUAAAAGGUACUCCGGGGAUAACAGGCUGAUACCGCCCAAGAGUUCAUAUCGACGGCGGUGUUUGGCACCUCGAUGUCGGCUCAUCACAUCCUGGGGCUGAAGUAGGUCCCAAGGGUAUGGCUGUUCGCCAUUUAAAGUGGUACGCGAGCUGGGUUUAGAACGUCGUGAGACAGUUCGGUCCCUAUCUGCCGUGGGCGCUGGAGAACUGAGGGGGGCUGCUCCUAGUACGAGAGGACCGGAGUGGACGCAUCACUGGUGUUCGGGUUGUCAUGCCAAUGGCACUGCCCGGUAGCUAAAUGCGGAAGAGAUAAGUGCUGAAAGCAUCUAAGCACGAAACUUGCCCCGAGAUGAGUUCUCCCUGAGACUUAGAGUCUCCUGAAGGAACGUUGAAGACGACGACGUUGAUAGGCCGGGUGUGUAAGCGCAGCGAUGCGUUGAGCUAACCGGUACUAAUGAACCGUGAGGCUUAACCUUACAACGCCGAAG
rnacentral:rRNA from 1 species